rnacentral:rRNA from 1 species
UACGUAGGUGGCAAGCGUUGUCCGGAAUUAUUGGGCGUAAAGCGCGCGCAGGCGGUCCUUUAAGUCUGAUGUGAAAGCCCACGGCUCAACCGUGGAGGGUCAUUGGAAACUGGGGGACUUGAGUGCAGGAGAGAAGAGUGGAAUUCCACGUGUAGCGGUGAAAUGCGUAGAGAUGUGGAGGAACACCCGUGGCGAAGGCGGCUCUCUGGGACGUGACUGACGCUGAGGAGCGAAAGCGUGGGGAGCAAACAGG